rnacentral:rRNA from 1 species
GAUGAACGCUGGCGGCGUGCCUAAUACAUGCAAGUCGAGCGAACAGACGAGGAGCUUGCUCCUCUGACGUUAGCGGCGGACGGGUGAGUAACACGUGGAUAACCUACCUAUAAGACUGGGAUAACUUCGGGAAACCGGAGCUAAUACCGGAUAAUAUAUUGAACCGCAUGGUUCAAUAGUGAAAGACGGUUUUGCUGUCACUUAUAGAUGGAUCCGCGCCGCAUUAGCUAGUUGGUAAGGUAACGGCUUACCAAGGCAACGAUGCGUAGCCGACCUGAGAGGCGGAUCGGCCACACUGGAACUGAGACACGGUCCAGACUACUACGGGAGGCAGCAGUAGGGAAUCUUACGCAAUGGGCGAAAGCAUGACGGAGCAACGCCGCGUGAGUGAUGAAGGUCUUCGGAUCGUAAAACUCUGUUAUUAGGGAAGAACAAAUGUGUAAGUAACUAUGCACGUCUUGACGGUACCUAAUCAGAAAGCCACGGCUAACUACGUG